rnacentral:rRNA from 1 species
UGCUCGAAAGAGAGCCGUAACACAGGUGCUGCAUGGCUGUCGUCAGCUCGUGUCGUGAGAUGUGGGUUAAGUCCCGCAACGAGCGCAACCCUUGUCAUUAGUUGCUACAUUCAGUUGGGCACUCUAAUGAGACUGCCGGUGACAAGCCGGAGGAAGGUGGGGAUGACGUCAAGUCCUCAUGGCCCUUAUAGGUGGGGCUACACACGUCAUACAAUGGCUGGUACAAAGGGUUGCCAACCCGCGAGGGGGAGCCAAUCCCACAAAGCCGGUCGUAGUCCGGAUCGCAGUCUGCAACUCGACUGCGUGAAGUCGGAAUCGCUAGUAAUCGCGGAUCAGCAUGUCGCGGUGAAUACGUUCCCGGGUCUU